GGUUCAAUGGUGUAGUUGGUUAUCACGUUCGUCUCACAUCUUAGGAUGGACACGAGAGGCCGCCAGUUCGAACCUGGCUUGAAUCA
rnacentral:tRNA from 1 species